rnacentral:rRNA from 1 species
UACGUAGGGGGCAAGCGUUGUCCGGAAUCAUUGGGCGUAAAGAGCGUGUAGGCGGCCCGGUAAGUCCGCUGUGAAAGUCCAGGGCUCAACCCUGGGAUGCCGGUGGAUACUGUCGGGCUCGAGUCCGGAAGAGGAGUGUGGAAUUCCUGGUGUAGCGGUGAAAUGCGCAGAUAUCAGGAGGAACACCAAUGGCGAAGGCAGCUCGCUGGAACGGUACUGACGCUGAGGCGCGAAAGCGUGGGGAGCGAACAGG